rnacentral:rRNA from 1 species
GACGAACGCUGGCGGCGUGCUUAACACAUGCAAGUCGAGCGGUAAGGCCCUUUCGGGGGUACACGAGCGGCGAACGGGUGAGUAACACGUGGGUGACCUGCCCUUAGCUCUGGGAUAAGCCUGGGAAACUGGGUCUAAUACCGGAUAUGACUCCAUGACGCAUGUUGUGGGGUGAAAGCCUUGUGCGGCUAGGGAUGGGCCCGCGGCCUAUCAGCUUGUUGGUGGGGUGANGGCCUACCAAGGCGACGACGGGUAGCCGGCCUGAGAGGGCGACCGGCCACGACUGGGACUGAGACACGGCCCAGACUCCUACGGGAGGCAGCAGUGGGGAAUCUUGCGCAAUGGGCGAAAGCCUGACGCAGCGACGCCGCGUGAGGGA